rnacentral:lncRNA from 1 species
AAUAACUAAUUGCAUCAUAGUUAGUUUAUUUAAUUUAAAGAAACCCACCCACCUUAGUCCGUGUAUUUAGACCUGUUCUUGGUUGUCUCAUUUGCAUUUAGUGUUAAUUGUUUACUUUCUCAUUCAUUAGGAUUCCUUAAAGUGUCACAUAAAUAACUACUUGUUUAUCUUGAUUCAGUUGUUUUUUAAUUUUGAAAUACAAUUUGAAGAAGGGAAUAGAGUGGUAAAAGGUUUGAGAGUAU